GUGUGUGUAAAUGAACACAUGUAUUUCUUAAUAUUGUUUCCCUUGAGGUAGAUGAAAGGACAACGAACAACCAUACUACUUAACACCUUUAUUUGAGUAUUAUUCGUAUGCAUUUGUACACACAAAAAGCUGUGAUAUAAAAUUCAUUAUCCAUACAAUAUUAAUAUAUUUGUGUACAGCUACAACAAAUGGGUAUAAUCUAAAAUAUACGCAAUAAUUUCCAUACAUGUUUUAUUGAACAAUGCUACAAUUGAUCAACUACCUCCAUCUAGCUUUUUACUAGACCAGGUCAAGCAAAAUCAAAAUGUGCCUUGUAUUUCAGGACGGAGGAAGUACGAAAGAUGUGAACACCACUCGCAAAAGAAAAAAGAUGUGAACACCCUUCCUUUAGCUUCAGAUGAAGAGACAAGUACUAGUAGUGCUUCACCUUUUCAAUUCGACAUUAUUAUUAUAACAUUAUCUAGCAUUUACACACAUAGUUGUUUGCAUCUUUUAUUGAACAUUGAUUUGUGCACUCAACUACCCCAGCUAGAUUGUUCAUCAGCAGACAAGAUCGUCUGGCAAUAAAACACUUUAAUAUACUCAAAGUGUGUAGAUCGCACUGGGUCGAUCAAGCAGCCUCUUAAAUUUUGAGAAAGAGGGAUCGGUGUCGGUGUUUGGAUCCUUAGCUAAAGUUUAGUUCGUAUUACAUCGAAUCUUCGGAGGCUAAUUAGGAAGACUAAACAUGAGUUAAUUAUAAAACUAAUUACACAGAUGGAGGCUAAUUCGCGAG
rnacentral:lncRNA from 1 species